GUCCCUGUAGCACAAUGAAAAGCGCGUUGGAAUCCUAAUUCAAUGGUUGUGAGUUCGAAUCCCACCUGGGAUG